GGGAGGGGGCCGCGGGGCCGGGCCGGCGGCGAAAGCCUCGGGGCGGGGAGGGAGGGGAGGGCCGCACGGUGCUGCCGGGCUGACCCAGCCUCGGUGGAGGGGGUAAAGGACAGCAGGGGGCAACGUCGGCUUGCGGGACGGAGGGGCGGCGGUGCGGGAAGGCGGCUCGGCUGCGGCUCUCCCCCUGCAGGCAGCGGCAGCAGCCCCGGAGGAAGGGCGGGCGAUGGGAGCGCGGCCCCUCGGCGGCGGAGAGCGGGAGGAGAGCCCUUGGGAGGCUGAGGCAGCACCACCGCCGCGAUUACCGCCUGUCAGCCUUCUCCGGCGCUGUGCUCCCGGGGGCACACGCGGGCUGCAGUAACCUGGCUUGCCAAAGGAGCUCAGAAAACCUGCCAAAGCUGCCCCUGCAGAGCUCAGGCCCCGGAGUGCAUCUCCUGCCCCCAUGGGCAGCACAGCCCCCCCCAGCACCCCACCGCCUGCUGCUGCCUGGGGGACCUGACUGCAUCGACCUCACCCGGGGCCUGCCCCCCGGCUGCUACAGAAGCUACGAAGAACACCAGCUCUUGCACAAGUUUGGGAGGCCAGUUUGAAAAUUUAAGCCGUCGUUCAAAUCCCCCCUGCCCCCUUUUUUUCUUAAAAGAUCAAUUCCUUGAAGCUCCAGAGAGCUCAGGAAGGAGUUUCACAAGAGCCACUUACUGCACCUGGGUUUUCAAAUGGAGAAAAUUGGACGCUCCAUGGUGAAAGGCUUUUUUGAUACAAUCCUUUUAUUUUUUCCCCGUGUCCAGAAGUGCACAUUUCAAAGAAAUGCCUGGGUUACCGGCUUCUUAAUUGAUCAUUUGGGUGAGAUGCAUGAAGCGAGUUAGAACAGCCCCAGUUUAAGUCAGAGGCUAAGCACGUGCAGAAUUUCAGGUUUUAAACACAAGAGUCUGAUUUGCUGUUUGGGGCUCUUUUGAAGGCUGAAAGUGAACAGUGAGUGCCAGUUACCAGAACAAGGAAUCUAUGUCAUUAGAUAAGUGGAAGCAUUUGCAAUUCAUUGCACUUGAAUGGAGGCUGAGAGUAAAGUUUUUCCUGUUGUUCAGAACUCACAACAUCCUCCCAUUGCUGUAGUCAAUCUUGGACUUGCAAGAUGCAGUGACAAGUGGGUAAAGAUAACCAGUCAAGAGGAAAACAUGAAUUUAUCCUUAAUACAAAAGACCUAGCACAUUUAAAACAACUUGGGAUUUUUCAUCGCUUUUCUCCUGCAUUAGAAAUUCACAUCACAUGUAUCAGGACCAACAGCAGUGCCUGAAGAGCUAGCAUAAGUACUGUAAUUUGCAUUCAGAAAGCAACAACACCCAUAAUUCUGUCCAGGAUUUCCUGCAUGGAAACAUAGGGGCACAUCCCAGGCAACCACCCACAGAGCCUGGCCAGCAGACCUGGGCAUACAUAACAUGCCUGACACAUGCUGGGUACACCAGGCUUGAAGAACAUGGCCUCAGAAGUGCGCAGGGAUGCUCUUCAUAUCUCGGGAGUGACUACUGAAUUAGUCAAGAGGUGCUGGCAGCCCCAAAGUUCCUGGAUGCACAGGGCAGGGAAUAAGAACAAGCAACCAGAACAUGAACCACGAGCAUCACUACCAUACAGCGCUCAAAGGUACAAACUCAAAAUGUCCUGCUACAAAGGCUGGGAGUUUUAGGCUGCCAACUCAGUUUCCAUCAACUUCUGCAUUACAUUUAAUUAAGGCUUCUUUCCUUGAAAAGAUGCAAGGUAGCACAUUUUUGUGAUAAAUGCAAGACCUACUUAGUAGACCUCCCUGGAAACACUGUUGCUUCUCCCUGGAAAGAGGGCUAGGGACACUUUUCUAUUUGUAGUAAUAAUAAAGGAAUCUCUCCCCAUUCUACUUUUUGUGUC
ensembl:lncRNA